rnacentral:rRNA from 1 species
GACGAACGCUGGCGGCGUGCUUAACACAUGCAAGUCGAACGGUAAGGCCCUUCGGGGUACACGAGUGGCGAACGGGUGAGUAACACGUGGGUGAUCUGCCCUGCACUUCGGGAUAAGCCUGGGAAACUGGGUCUAAUACCGGAUAGGACCCUGGGAUGCAUGUCCUGGGGUGGAAAGCUUUUGCGGUGUGGGAUGGGCCCGCGGCCUAUCAGCUUGUUGGUGGGGUGAUGGCCUACCAAGGCGACGACGGGUAGCCGGCCUGAGAGGGUGACCGGCCACCCUGGGACUGAGAGACGGCCCCGAAUCCUACGGGAGGCAGCAGUGGGGAAUAUUGCACAAUGGGCGCAAGCCUGAUGCAGCGACGCCGCGUGAGGGAUGACGGCCUUCGGGUUGUAAACCUCUUUCAGCACCGACGAAGCGCAAGUGACGGUAGGUGCAGAAGAAGGACCGGCCAACUACGUGCCAGCCGCCGCGGUAA